AUUGAACGCUGGCGGCAGGCCUAACACAUGCAAGUCGAGCGGAUGACGGGAGCUUGCUCCUUGAUUCAGCGGCGGACGGGUGAGUAAUGCCUAGGAAUCUGCCUGGUAGUGGGGGACAACGUUUCGAAAGGAACGCUAAUACCGCAUACGUCCUACGGGAGAAAGCAGGGGACCUUCGGGCCUUGCGCUAUCAGAGCAUCCUCGGUCGGAUUAGCUCGUAGGUGAGGUAAUGGCUCACCUAGGCGACGAUCCGUAACUGGUCUGAGAGGAUGAUCAGUCACACUGGAACUGAGACACGGUCCAGACUCCUACGGGAGGCAGCAGUGGGGAAUAUUGGACAAUGGGCGAAAGCCUGAUCCAGCCAUGCCGCGUGUGUGAAGAAGGUCUUCGGAUUGUAAAGCACUUUAAGUUGGGAGGAAGGGCAGUAAGUUAAUACCUUGCUGUUUUGACGUUACCGACAGAAUAAGCACCGGCUAACUCUGUGCCAGCCGCCGCCGUAAUAC
rnacentral:rRNA from 1 species